CCGUUGGCGGCGGGGCGACGCGGCGGCGCGGUCUGGCGGCGCCCGCUCGGCCCAGAUCUGGGCUCUUCGGGUCCCAUCUGGGCCUGGGCGGGCUGGCGGCGGGGUGGGUCUACUUCGUGGCUUCCGGGAGGCGGAGGAGCGGCGAUGAGCGGCAGGGUGCUGGCGGCACCAUCGCCGGCUUGCUGCAGCGUGGCGGCGGGGCUUAGCGGGCCCGUUUCGGGCCUGGCCGGGCCAGGGGUGGCCUGGCAUGCCCUGCUGCCGUGUCCGGACGGCUACCGCGACGGUGCCGGAGGCUCUGGCCUCCCGCAUGACGGCGGUGGAGGUGGUUCCCUCCCGUUCGGCUUCGGUGCUGCUUCUCCCUCUGCGGGGCGCUUCUCUCCGGUCCUCUUGGCCUCGUGUGGGUGUUCGCAUACGGGAGAAAUCCUUGCCGGUCUUCGGCUCCGAUGCGGUGACACCUGCGGGUGCCAUCAUUCCUUCCUAAAGGGUGUCGGUGAUAUCCACCCCCCACCUCCCUCCGCGUGCCGGGGAAACCCUAGGACAUGUCCGGGCAGCAGCGUCAUCGGCGUCGCUUUCUUUCUUGGAGUGGACCAAUAUGCAAACUGCACCCCUAAAGCUGUAUUCUCCCACCCGACGGCCGACGCGAUGGCCGCCGCCGCCGCCGGAGAGACUCCGCCGCUGCAGGCGAACUACGUCUUCGGGAGGGCAUGGCCGGAUCUCAACGAAGGACUCUCCUACACCGAUACGUUCUGCGGCGCUGAUGCGGAAACCACCGCCUCCUUGAUCAACUUCUACUCCGAGAACUACAAGAGCUCGGCGCCAUUGCCAGGGCACCUCCGCCGUCCUCAACCGCCGGCGCUCACCUCUCCCCAUGCCUCGAUCCCGUCUGGAUCGGGAGAGCCCGAGCUGCCCAACCACUCCGGCGACCGCCUCUCCCCCUCGCAUCACUUCGGCGAGCAUCGGCCUUGGUCCGAGCUACCACAUGAGCUCCUGGGGCUCUUCGUUGCCUACCUCCCGUCCUCCGUGCAGUUGCAGCCAGCGCGCGAGGCCACGGCGCCGGAUGCCGCCAAGCUCGCGCGCCUCGUCGAGGAGCUGCAAGAGCAAGAGUCCCGCCUGCGCACCGAGUUGCUCAAGCACAAAAUCCUCAAGGAGACCAUCAUCGAGGAGCUGCGUCGGGUGGUGGCGCCGACGGCCUCGGAGGAAAUUCCGUAA
rnacentral:rRNA from 1 species